rnacentral:rRNA from 1 species
AGGGUUUGAUUCUGGCUCAGGACGAACGCUGGCGGCGUGCCUAACACAUGCAAGUCGAACGGACGAGGAGGAGCUUGCUUCUCCAAGUCAGUGGCGGACGGGUGAGUAACGCGUGAGUAACCUGCCCUUCAGAGGGGGAUAACGUCUGGAAACGGACGCUAAUACCGCAUGACAUAUUUCCAUCGCAUGGUGGAGAUAUCAAAGGAGCAAUCCGCUGAAGGAUGGACUCGCGUCCGAUUAGAUAGUUGGCGGGGUAACGGCCCACCAAGUCGACGAUCGGUAGCCGGACUGAGAGGUUGAACGGCCACAUUGGGACUGAGACACGGCCCAG